CUCUCUUCCCUCAGCCCCUGGCAGCCACCACUCUAGUUUCUAUCUCUAUAGAUUUGUCUACUCUCAGUAUCUCAUAUAAGUGGAAUCAUAUACUAUUUCUCCUUUCGUGACUUAUUUCAUUUAGCAUCAUGUUCGCAAGAUUCAUCCUUGAGACAUGCGUCACCCCUUUUUGUGUGAGGAGGAAGCGGCAGCUACACCCCUAGAAGCAUUUAGGGGGUGUCGAGGAACCAACACAUUGAGUCUCCGUGAGGUCAUUGGGUACUGACAACAAUCCAAGGGGCAGUAAGGAAAGAAUGAUUCAUUUUGACUGUGAUUGCUGGGAAAGAUAUCUUGAAAUGGAGACUGUGAGUAGUGGAUGAAGUUUUGUGUUUGCUCUACUGACCUGAAGUGAGGAACAACCACAUACAUCUUUGUCUUCACUCUGUCCAGCUGUCAACUGCAUUGUUCCCUCACGUCUUCCUGCAAAGUACCAUUAUUUCCACACCUUAAGAAUUAAAGAGUGAAGAGAAAACGACAAAAUGUUCUUGUUUAUCAGGAGAUGGGGGUGAGCUGAGCUUUCCACAAGGUCCUGAAUGGAUGAGAAGGACCCAAAACAUAUGGAAAAUAUGGAGAAUAGGGUAUAAGUAAUAAAAAUAAAAAUAAAAUAAAUAAAAUAAAUUGGGAAU
rnacentral:lncRNA from 10 species